GCCCCCGUGGUGUAACGGAUAACGCGUCGGCCUCCGGAGCCGGAAAUUCAGGUUCGAUUCCUGACGGGGGUACCA
rnacentral:tRNA from 1 species